UCUCCUGUAGCUCAGUGGCAGAGCGUGGCUACUGGUGUGCGGACGGUCAUAGGUUCGACUCCUGUUGGGAGAA